GAUGAACGCUAGCGGCAGGCUUAAUACAUGCAAGUCGUGGGGCAGCAGGUCUGUAGCAAUACAGAUGCUGGCGGCCGGCAAACGGGUGCGGAACACGUACGCAACCUUCCUUCGAGUGGGGGAGUAGCCCGGGGAAACCCGGAUUAAUACCCCGUCAUAUAAUGAGGUGGCAGUCAUCUUAUUAUUAUAGCAGCAAUGCGCUUGAAGAUGGGCGUGCGCCUGAUUAGGUAGUUGGCGGGGUAACGGCCCACCAAGCCUACGAUCAGUAACUGGUGUGAGAGCACGACCAGUCACACGGGCACUGAGACACGGGCCCGACUCCUACGGGAGGCAGCAGUAAGGAAUAUUGGGCAAUGGACGCAAGUCUGACCCAGCCAUGCCGCGUGGAGGAUGAAGGUCCUCUGGAUUGUAAACUUCUUUUAUCUGAGAAGAAAACCAGGAAUUCUUUCCUGGCUGACGGUACCAGAUGAAUAAGCACCGGCUAACUCCGUGCCAGCAGCCGCGGUAAUACGGAGGGUGCAAGCGUUAUCCGGAUUCACUGGGUUUCAAAGGGUGCGUAGGUGGGUUGGUAAGUCCGUGGUGAAAUCCCCGAAGCUUAACUUGGGAACUGCCGUGGAUACUAUCAAUCUUGAAUAUCGUGGAGGUAAGCGGAAUAUGUCAUGUAGCGGUGAAUGCUUAGAUAUGNCAUAGAACACCGAUAGCGGAGGCAGCUUUGCUACACGAUCAUUGACACUGAGGGCACGAAAGCGU
rnacentral:rRNA from 1 species